CACGUAGGGCGCAAGCGUUGUCCGGAAUUAUUGGGCGUAAAGAGCUCGUAGGCGGUCUGUUGCGUCCGCUGUGAAAACCCGGGGCUUAACCCUGGGCUGGCAGUGGAUACGGACAGACUAGAGGUAGGUAGGGGAGAAUGGAAUUCCCAGUGUAGUGGUGAAAUACGUAGAGAUUGGGAAGAACACCAGUGGCGAAGGCGGCUAUCUGGACGGUUUCUGACGCUAAGACGCGAAAGCGUGGGGAGCAAACAGG
rnacentral:rRNA from 1 species